AUAGGGGUUUCCAGUGGACUCCAGAAGUGGCUGUGCGUCUGCUGCUGGGGUGCACGCUGCCUGUGAGCUCUUGUUCACCCACCAACGCCCAUGUGCCUGGCCCCGCUGGUGCUCAGUGGUCAGUGUGUGAGGGCUACACCAGGGGACCGACCACCCCCAUGCAAUCUGGGGACCCCAUGUCACAGAGGGCUCUUGGGCUUGCUGGCCAUUCUCAGCCAAGCCGGCCUUGUGGCUCCUAGCAUUUUCCCCAGCAGACUCUGCACACUCUCCCAGCUCCAGAAGCUUCUUAGACCACAGGUCUCCUCUUGCUCGGCACAGGGAGUCCCCUGGUGGUGCCCAAGCUGAGCGGUAAGGCUGCCAAAUGCCAUGGCUGCCGUGUUUCUAGGACAGUGCUGGCAACUCAGGAGCGAUGCUGACGUCCCUGUGUUGGACUCCACGUGGCUGGGGGCCAUGCCUGCACAGGGACCGGACCCUGGCCCGUGCUGUGGCCUCUGAGCAUCAGCAUCCAGGUGUUGAGGACCUGAGGCCUCCUGGCAUGUUCUCUGAGCUGCACUGAGGAUCCGUGGAGCAGUCUUGUUCUCUGGGGCUCUGGGGGGCAGAGGUCAGGCCUCGGCAAGGGUGUGGAGCCUCAGGACAAAGAAAAAACAGCCAGCGUUGCCUGGUGACUCCCUGCUGGGCUGUGUCCCUGGAUGUGUAAGAUGAAGCUGGUGGCCCAGCCCCAGGGAGCCUGCAGGUGCACAGCCCUGGCCCCAGCGUGGCCGUGUGGGAGCAGCACACAGCACGUGACACAGCAGCAGCGAGGACGCGUGGAUGCACAGCACAGCCUGGCAGUGCACACACAGGUGCAUGCCGUGGGACACGCUGCCCCCCACACAGCUGUGAGCCCCAGCCCUGUUGUCAGGGGCCUUGGUGGGAUCUGCUUGAAGAGACUGAAGUGAACCCCAGUUGGGUUCCCAUUAAUUCUUGAUGGAAUGAGACUUGCACCCACACAGUGCACACAGGCUCUACUACGUGGUUGGCAUCGGCACAGCUCUGAGAAGAGGAAUGGGAUUGAGACUCCACUGAGGGGUCCCUUGGAGGCUGGCAGGGAUUUCUUGGUCAAGGCAGGUAUUUUUAGGGUCAGCAAGCUUGGGGUCAGUAAACUGUUUCUUGCCACAAGUCUAUCCAGUCUCAGACUGGCUUUCCAAGGUCCCAGACUAAGCCUGACCCUGACCAAGGCCGAGUGCCAAUCGCCCACUGCCAGUGGGCCCGUUCCCUGGCUCAGGUCGAGUCGGUGCCAUGCUUUCAGGGUGCACAGGUCCUUUGUGGGUGGUGUCACUGUUGUCUGGGUGUCAGAGUCCCUGUGUCUCUGUGGCUGACAGCUCUCCCAGGGGAACACCCUCUCUUCUCUGCUGUGCCUGGGAUAUUGUUAGCUGAGAACAGAACCCCCACACUGUGGCCUGGGGCAUGGCUGCACAAGGGGAUGGGCCACAGCCAGGCAGCCUGGGGUUUGCUGAGACCCCCACAGAGCCCUGUGUGGAGGCUGGGCCUAAAUUUACCACAGGCAGGGACAGGGCUGUACACUCCGUCACAACCUGGUGCUUUCCCCAAGGUGUGCAGGAGCCCCUGAUUGGCCCCGGGGGCUUCCUGCUUUCAGAUAAGGAACCAGGCGGACUGCUUGCAAGCCCCUGAGGUGUGGAAGCCGAGGCAGCCAGCAAGAGAGGCUGGACUGAAGGUAUUUUUAGCUCUUGGAGGAGUUGGAUGCUCUGCUCAGACAGGGGCCUUCCUGGACUGACUAGCCUUGCUGUAGUCUGUCUCAUUGGAGCAGCUGGGUAGUUAUAUCUGAGGGGCAGGGGUGGUGUGUGCAGCCUCCCAAGCCCCUGGGCCACAGAGAUGUGACAGGUUGAUUCCUAAGUGCUAAGGGCAAAACCAGCACGUGGGCUGGAUCAUCACAUUUCCGCUUGGAGCAUGGUCCUCAGCCAGCUUGCCGGGUGCUGCUGGAUGCUGAUGGCCUGCUUCCUCUUUCUGCUCUAUUCCAUCCCAGGUACAUUGGGAUUUUUCGUAGGACUCAGUACUAAGUGCUUGCUGCAUAUUAAGUGAACUGCUCUGGUGGUCACAUGCCCUUUCAGCUCAGCCCCCCAGUGCCUCCUUUCCCAUUCCCUUCUUCAGGAUCUGCUUUUGCUUGAAUGACCCUCAAACACAGACUGGCUGAGUAGGUGGGUGGGUAGACGAAUGACAGAUGAUGGAUGGAUGCAGAAGAAUGGAGUCUUAUGUUAACGGUACCAAGAAGGGGGAAACUUAAUCCAACUAUGGAAUUUAAAGAUCGUGUCUGCAGCCUGCCGUGCGUGUCCAUCUCCCCAUCCCCAGGCUCCCUACCCAAGCCAACCGUCUGUGUCUCCUGUCACCAUGUUAAGUCCCCCCCACAGCAAGCCUCUUAGAAACCCCACUCCCAGUGAUGUAACCCAGCUCACUCACACCCAUUGUUUCUAGGAUGCCCCCAGAGUUUGCCACAUCGUCCAGUGCCUGGGCCACCCUCCUGAUGGGCCCAUGUGACCAACCUGAGUCCAGGGGCUCCUUGGGGGAGCAGCGAGGCCCCACCUCUGCUCCGAGGUCUGGGUUUGGUCCUCCUGCACCUCCCAGGGCCCACACAGCUGCGUGGUUCCCCUCCGAAAAGCUCCACCCCCAGUGUCGCGUCCUGCAGCUGCCCAGGGCCUUAUUACUCCUGUGGUAUUUCUGACUCAGUUGAAAAUCUGAAUCAUAUUUUGCAACUGUAUUGAUAUAAAGAAAAAUGUCAUCCAUACCAGAUUCACUAUUAUUACAUACUUUUUUUCUUCUGAUGUUAAGGAAAUUUGAACCUAAGAUAUUUUUGUGACUUCUAAAAGUACCAGAGGCCCAGGUGCUAUGCCCGCUGCACCUGGUGGGGACGUGGGUCCUGCUACCACCUACUGAGGGCUCAGCAAACCUCCCUGGGUGCCCCUUCUCCUGCUGGGGACCCUCUGCCUCAGGGCUGGUCAGACAGAGGUGAGCUGCAGGUAUUGGGUAGUGUUGACAGCAGACUGAAUUUUUUAAAAAAGAUUUUAUUUAUUUAUUUGACAGGUAGAGUUAUUG